AUUGAACGCUGGCGGCAGGCCUAACACAUGCAAGUCGAACGAGUGGCGGACGGGUGAGUAAUGUCUGGGAACCUGCCUGAUGUAGGGGGAUAACUACUGGAAACGGUAGCUAAUACCGCAUACCAUCAGAUGUGCCCUGAUGGGAUUAGCUUGUUGGUGGGGUAACGGCUCACCAAGGCGACGAUCCCUAGCUGGGCUGAGAGGAUGACCGGCCACACUGGAACUGAGACACGGUCCAGACUCCUACGGGAGGCAGCAGUGGGGAAUAUUGGACAAUGGGCGAAAGCCUGAUGCAGCCAUGCCGCGUGUAUGAAGAAGGCCUUCGGGUUGUAAAGUACUUUCGGUGGGGAGGCGUUACCCACAGAAGAAGCACCGGCUAACUACGUGCCAGCAGCCGCGGUAAUAC
rnacentral:rRNA from 1 species